rnacentral:lncRNA from 1 species
CAGAGACAGCGAUGGAACUGGGGAGGUGGCAGAUAGACUGACACCUGAUUUAUUUAUCUUUUUUCUUCCUUCGAAGCAUCAGAAACUGCCUAGAAUGCCCAUGCCACUACUCAGAGAAGCCUGCCCUCUUACUUGCUUUCUUCCCUUCUUUCCCUGUCUGAAUGGAAGCAUAUUUCCAUAGUGCCUGAUUAAGACCUAUAACCAGCCCAAAGGAGGAAGGUGCAGAAAGUGUUUUGUCUCAGCCAGGGAGCAAUCUCCUGAGCUGUGAAUGCACCAGGCAGUUACCAGCAAGGCCCGUCUUGUCUUUUCUCCAGCAGGCAAAAAACAGAUCACACAAACUAUGUAAUUGGGAGAGGGCUAUCGUAUGUCCACAGCCAGAUGGGAAAUGUUUUUGAAGGGAUGCUGAAGACUUUGCAGAUGUGUUCAGGGUGUUCCUGAUACAAAAGCACAAGAGGUCUCCUGGGAAGCCCCUUCGUGCCCUGGCCCGGGCUGGUGCCUGCGAUGCCCACGAGGACAGGCAGUGGCUAGGUGGCUGCUUCUGCUUCGGGCCACACCAUUAGAGAGAAAAUGCACCUGAGCCCAUGAGUGGGAAGAAGUGAUCUUUUCCUGACCAAAGAAAUUAUGGAAAUUUAGGGGAGGCUUCCUUUUUGUCUGUGUAAAAUUGCACUUCUGUGACUGGAUGUCUCUUCUUUGGUCUGGGGACCAGGAGUCCCUGGACGUGGAGGACC